rnacentral:lncRNA from 10 species
CUGCAUCAGCUCAUGUAACAGUAAAUGUUCUCCCGUCUUGUAAUCGGGGAUACUGAGGUGUCCACUGUUUAGACAAUUUGUCCGGGUCACAGAGCUAAGAAGGGGCAGUGAGGAUUAGAAGCCUGUGAGUCUUCAGUGAUUCUAAUGGCUGUAUUACACUUCCUCUAAAAACCACAGGUAUAUGUGUUUUGGCUUAAAAAAAUGUAUUAGAAUGGUGAUGCUGGGAAGAACUUUGGCAAUCAACCAGACUAACUGCUUGAAAGCCAGGGAGAUACUGACGUCCAGGCACCAAGUAACUUGCACACAUCUUUAAAGUUAAUUUAGUGUUAUUUCUGGAACUGGAACCCAGGUCUCCAGGUCUCCUUAGUCUCAGUUCUAUGCUCUUAUGUGUCUCUUGCAUUCUUCCAACAACAUAAUUAAUAUUUCAAUGUGCAUUAUUAAUUUCCUACAUGGUUACUUUUUUUUGUAUCCAUGUCUCCCCAGUCAACUAUAUCCUUUCCAUAUGGAGUCUUAAAGUCAUAUAAAGUAAAUGAGAACAACGUGUUAUACAGGAAUAAGGGAAUAGUUGCUGGAUAUUUUUUUUAAAAUAAAAUGACUUCAAUUGGUAGGUAUUUAUGGAAAAACACUAGAAUCUUUAUAAAUAUCUUUAUGCUUAAAUAUAUUUUAAUUGGCUGCACUAAUAAAAGAGAAGGACUUCAACAGAAGCCUUGGGAUUAAUAAUUACUUUGCUAAAAAUGAUGAAUUCUUGGCUGGUAUGUUUGCAGGGAUCGGGCUGUGAGUCCCUGAAUGGCUGGAACCCUGGCAGAGAGGAGCCUGGAGUGUCGAAAGAGGGGCAUCACAGAACAGAUGCAUCCUACAAACUGGAGGACUCCGAGCUUGGGGAAGAGACAGUUAAAGCUUCCCCGUGAGAGCGAGUUAUAUCAUGCAGCGCCAGUGCCAGGUCAGCAGUCUGGCUGGAGCUGGACCGGCUGGUGGCGCCAGGCAGUGCCAAGCACCCCUGGCAGCCCUGCAGAGGGUUCUCAAAUCCAGAUUUCAUUCUGCAGUCCCGGCAGUGCUUUGACGACUGCCUCACUAAAGGAAGCUAAAAGCUGUGCCGAUGCCUCCCAGACGAGCCUCGUUGGAAGCACAGAACCUUCACGACUCGGAGCCGCUGACACGGUGACAAAGGGAGCCCUGCUCAGGAGAAAGAGUAAAUGA